rnacentral:rRNA from 1 species
GACGAACGCUGGCGGCGUGCCUAACACAUGCAAGUCGAGCGAUGAAGUUUCUUUCGGGAAAUGGAUUAGCGGCGGACGGGUGAGUAACACGUGGGUAACCUGCCUCAUAGAGGGGAAUAGCCUCCCGAAAGGGAGAUUAAUACCGCAUAAUAUUACAGUUUCGCAUGAAACAGUAAUUAAAGGAGUAAUCCGCUAUGAGAUGGACCCGCGGCGCAUUAGCUAGUUGGUGAGGUAACGGCUCACCAAGGCGACGAUGCGUAGCCGACCUGAGAGGGUGAUCGGCCACAUUGGGACUGAGACACGGCCCAGACUCCUACGGGAGGCAGCAGUGGGGAAUAUUGCACAAUGGGGGAAACCCUGAUGCAGCAACGCCGCGUGAGUGAUGACGGUCUUCGGAUUGUAAAGCUCUGUCUUUGGGGACGAUAAUGACGGUACCCAAGGAGGAAGCCACGGCUAACUACGUGCCAGCCGCCGCAGUAACAC